rnacentral:rRNA from 1 species
AGUGAACGCUGGCGGUAGGCCUAACACAUGCAAGUCGAACGGCAGCACAGGAGAGCUUGCUCUCUGGGUGGCGAGUGGCGGACGGGUGAGGAAUACAUCGGAAUCUACUUUUUUGUGGGGGAUAACGUAGGGAAACUUACGCUAAUACCGCAUACGACCUACGGGUGAAAGCAGGGGACCUUCGGGCCUUGCGCGAUUGAAUGAGCCGAUGUCGGAUUAGCUAGUUGGCGGAGUAAAGGCCCACCAAGGCGACGAUCCGUAGCUGGUCUGAGAGGAUGAUCGGCCACACUGGAACUGAGACACGGUCCAGACUCCUACGGGAGGCAGCAGUGGGGAAUAUUGGACAAGGGGCGCAAGCCUGAUCCAGCCAUACCGCGUGGGUGAAGAGGGCCUUCGGGUUGUAAAGCCCUUUUGUUGGGAAAGAAAUCCAGCUGGCUAAUACCCGGUUGGGAUGACGGUACCCAAAGAAUAAGCACCGGCUAACUUCGUGCCAGCCGCCGCCGUAA